rnacentral:lncRNA from 1 species
GAGUCCUCCCUGUGACGUACUGAAAUAACAAAAAGCUUGCAAAUUGCAUCAAAGAAAUGCAGAACGUGGAAACGUUUUUUCAUAUUUUGGAUGUGUAAAAGAGACAGGCAAGUUAGAGAUCUUCCAUAAUAAGCACCAAAUUCAUUCAGCAAGUGUGUUGUUGAUGUCACUAUGAGGAAGUGAGCAGGAAGUCAGUGCUGUAUUCAUCUUUGUUACUGCCUCAUUUGUGAACGUGAGAGCAAGACUACAGACUGAGAGAGACAGAGAAGCACGAUGGCUGAAUUCAGAUGGAUUCAAAUGCUUUUGUUCCUGAUACUGAUGCUUCAGUUUAAAGCAGCAGUAACUGAACAACACGGCCCCACAUUCCUGAUCAGAGUUGGUGAUGAAGUCACUUUGCCUUGUCAAAAUGUGACAGCUGGUCAGCCUGACUGUAACAGUACUGGCUGGUUCUUCAAACAUUUUAAUGUUGCUGAGUUAUCCAGGCGGAUUCCUCUUGGUUUGAUUGAAGAAAAACAGAAAAAUAAAUCAGACAGACUGAGUGUUACAGCAAACUGUUCUCUGGUCAUAAAGAACAUCACAGUUCAUGAUGCUGGUCAGUACAUCUGCAGACGCGACACAUCACAAGACCAACGACUCUGUGGACAAUCCUGUUCUUCUCUGUCUGUCAUCAACAUGACUGAACAUGUGAACAAUGGUAAAGUCAUCUUGUCCUGCUCUGUGUUGGAGUAUGAUCCAUGUUCACACACAGUGCAGUGGAUCUAUGAGGGUGAAGAGAAAUCCUCAGACAUGCAGAUAUCACCACGAGGCUGCACUGCCACUGUGACAUUUACAACAUCUCACCUUAAUCAGAAGUUUUUUGAGUUAUUAAAGUGUAAUGUGACAAAUCAGAACAGCAAGAAAGUGCAGCUGUUUCCUUUCAGCCGUCAGUCCUCAGGUGGGACAACAGAUGGGGAUAAAUCAACGGAUGAAGGUAAUGGCCAAAUAUUUCUUUCUGUCUCUCUUUGUGUUAUCAUUCAUUUUUUACCUUGCUCAGUCAGUCUCAGUGUUUCAGUCUCUUGUUACAAAUUGUUGCUUUCAGCUCAUCAUAACUGUACUAGUGACCACUAUCAUAUGUUUUUUACAGGUUCAUUAUUGCCGUAUAUUAUUGCUCUUGUAUGUUUAGUGGCACUCUUAAUUGUUGUAGCAUUCAUCACAUGGAAGAAAGGUAAAGGUGCGAACAUUUCCAGAUUAAACAUAUAAACAACAACUGUUUAAUAGAGUUUACAUUUCAGUGUGAAAAUUAAAUUUCUUUUUAGGGAAAAAAACACAAAUAGAAGACAAUGCUGUGAGUUUAAACACUGAA